rnacentral:rRNA from 1 species
UACGGAGGGUGCAAGCGUUAUCCGGAUUCACUGGGUUUAAAGGGUGCGUAGGCGGGCAUGUAAGUCAGUGGUGAAAUCUUUGGGCUUAACCCGAAAACUGCCAUUGAUACUAUAUGUCUUGAAUAUUGUGGAGGUUAGCGGAAUAUGUCAUGUAGCGGUGAAAUGCUUAGAUAUGACAUAGAACACCAAUUGCGAAGGCAGCUAACUACGCAUAUAUUGACGCUGAGGCACGAAAGCGUGGGGAUCAAACAGG